rnacentral:lncRNA from 1 species
GUUAACAAUCCCUGAAUCCUUCAUGGAAGGGACACACAUCCCUCCAUAACACCUGCCUCCUCAAUCCCCCUUAUCCUGUAGCACUCCAGAGCAGCAUUAAUACUAUUUUAAAAAGCAAAAUUCUAAAAUGGGGAAAGCUUCUACAAGCACCUUGGUCAGUUCCAGGUGUAGAAGUUACAUAGUAGAUCAGAACCAUAACUUUUAACUUUAACAAGCAGUAGGAAAACAAGCACUUACAUUGUAUAAAGUAACAACACAACACUAGCAUACUUGAAAGGUUUAUACCACGCUACUAACAAAUCGCAACACAGACUUACCUGGAGCACUGAGGAAUAACACAACUUGAAGCAGUUUUUCUUAUUAAAAAACAAAACAAAACAAACAAAAAAACCCAAACCAAACCAAAACAAAAAAACACAGAAUUUUCUUCAACACAACACCACUAGCAUUGUGUUAUCUCAAUACCAGCAAGGCACAGCAGGCCUCUCUGGUAAGUGUGAGGUAAAACUACUUCCCUCUUUUUCCACUGUUCAAAAGAGCUUAACAAAGUCUGAAGAAAAGCCCUUGAUUGUCCUUAUUUUGUAAGGGGGAAUGUGCCCUGCCAUUGUGUUAUCUCGCUAUGCUCUGCUGUGGAAGCUUCCAGAAGGCACUGAGCAGGGCAGGGCUGGGCUGCUAGGCCGAGGUGAAAUGGUGGUAUUUCCGCAGCCUGCACAAGCUGGGAGGAGCACUUCAGCCUGUGACACCACAGGAAAGCACACUGUGAAGGAGAAUACUGCCUUCCCUUACUGCUUUGUUGCUGCUAAUGCUGUGCAUUGGAUUUGCUCUGCUUCAAAAUAGCACAUCUCCUGAAGGUUCCCUGUUACGCUGAGAGAAAGGAAUCUGUUGUUUCUUUUGAGACUGCACAUCUCAUUGGAGCCUGAGAGAUCUCUGCAUGCUCAAUUCCUUUUUCUCCUUACCAGCCCCUGUUUAUUUUCUGGGGGUGAGGGGGAAGGGAGAGGGUAUUUCCUCGAAGUUUGACCUAAGUAAUUUUCCUCUUCAGGGAACGAUAGUUGUCAAUGUAAUCUGCUGUUAAGAUGACCAUCUAGAGACAGG